UAAAGAGGGACAUUCGAGUCACUUCACAGUCACUGCCGCACAGACAUGAUGGCUUUACUGGGAAUGUUCCUCUGGACACUGGCCCUGUCUGUUCAAGGCUCUGGGGCUCAGAUCAUCCUGACUCAGAGUCCAGCAGUGGAAUCGGUCGCUGUAGGAGUCACUGUCACUCUGAACUGCCAAUCCAGCAGCUCUUCAGUUGGGAGCUACUUAGUUUGGUAUCAGCAGAAACCUGGAGAAAGUCCCAAACUUCUCUUCUCCUCAGUGGGUAGCAAGGUGUCUGGGAUUCCAGACCGUUUCUCCGAUAGCCGUGAUGGCACAAAUUUCAGGCUGAAAAUCAGUGGAGUGCAGGCUGAAGAUGCAGGAGAUUAUUACUGUCAACAGCAUGCUAGCUGGCCGUACACACAGUGACACAGGCCAGUACAAAAACCUCACUCAGCUGUGCAUGCGCUCAGUCUAGGAAAACUACUAUCAAAACUGGCAAGAUAUAUCCAGACUACUGUAAUUCACUGGAUGCUAAUGCUCCUUUUUACCCUGAGACCCUGUAUUGGAUGGUGGGUGCUUAUUUAU